rnacentral:rRNA from 1 species
UACGGAGGAGGCAAGCGUUAUCCGGAAUUAUUGGGCGUAAAGCGUCCGCAGGUGGCGAUUCAAGUCUGCGGUCAAAGACUGGGGCUUAACCCUGGAAAGGCCGUGGAAACUGAAUAGCUAGAGUGCAGUAGGGGUAGAGGGAAUUCCCGGUGUAGCGGUGAAAUGCGUAGAGCUCGGGAAGAACAUCGGUGGCGAAAGCAGCUCUCUGGGACGGUACUGACGCUGAGACGCGAAAGCGUGGGGAGCGAACAGG